rnacentral:rRNA from 1 species
UACGUAGGGUGCGAGCGUUAAUCGGAAUUACUGGGCGUAAAGCGUGCGCAGGCGGUCUGUUAAGACCGAUGUGAAAUCCCCGGGCUUAACCUGGGAACUGCAUUGGUGACUGGCAGGCUUUGAGUGUGGCAGAGGGGGGUGGAAGUUCCACGUGUAGCAGUGAAAUGCGUAGAGAUGUGGAGGAACACCGAUGGCGAAGGCAGCCCCCUGGGUUAACACUGACGCUCAGGCACGAAAGCGUGGGGAGCAAACAGG